UGGGGCGUAGCCAAGUGGUAAGGCACGGGGUUUUGGUCCCCGCACGCGCAGGUUCGAACCCUGCCGCCCCAG
rfam:Natranaerobius trueperi strain DSM 18760 ZB100032, whole genome shotgun sequence.